rnacentral:rRNA from 1 species
GAUGAACGCUGGCGGCGUGCCUAAUACAUGCAAGUCGAGCGAAUGGAUUAAGAGCUUGCUCUUAUGAAGUUAGCGGCGGACGGGUGAGUAACACGUGGGUAACCUGCCCAUAAGACUGGGAUAACUCCGGGAAACCGGGGCUAAUACCGGAUAACAUUUUGAACCGCAUGGUUCGAAAUUGAAAGGCGGCUUCGGCUGUCACUUAUGGCUGGACCCGCGUCGCAUUAGCUAGUUGGUGAGGUAACGGCUCACCAAGGCAACGAUGCGUAGCCGACCUGGCAGGGUGAUCGGCCACACUGGGACUGAGACACGGCCCAGACUCCUACGGGAGGCAGCAGUAGGGAAUCUUCCGCAAUGGACGAAAGUCUGACGGAGCAACGCCGCGUGAGUGAUGAAGGCUUUCGGGUCGUAAAACUCUGUUGUUAGGGAAGAACAAGUGCUAGUUGAAUAAGCUGGCACCUUGACGGUACCUAACCAGAAAGCCACGGCUAACUACGUGCCAGCCGCCGCCGUAA